rnacentral:rRNA from 1 species
UAAUCUAAACGACUCUCGGCAACGGAUAUCUCGGCUCUCGCAUCGAUGAAGAACGUAGCGAAAUGCGAUACUUGGUGUGAAUUGCAGAAUCCCGUGAACCAUCGAGUCUUUGAACGCAAGUUGCGCCCGAGGCCUCGGCCGAGGGCACGCCUGCCUGGGU